GAUAGGAGAAGGGCACCAGCUGAAGCCACUUGCAGGACUGAGGGUUCUUGCAGUGAAACUCUAGCAGCCUGAGGAGCUGUAAGCCAGGUUUAAUUGGUUUCUUUUUCUCGUGGGUCGAGUUAAUAUUUUUCUACUUAUUCUGACAAAGCAAUAACCCUGAAGCACAUUCCUAGUUCCCACCUGCUUUUAGUUUCCGGGAUAGCCUAAACUCCAGAGAGCCUUAGCAUCCAUUCGGUCCUUUCUGCUUUGCACACAGAUGGGGUGGCUGGACGAGAGCAGCUCUUGGCUCAGCAGAGAAUGCACAGUAUGAUCAGCUCAGGUAAGAGCCUUUUUUUAACAGAGACAUUUUACAUGUGAAAGGGGGCUGUCUUGGGAAAGGCAGCUAGGAAAAGUACUCUCUUAAGGGUUUGCUGCUUUUUGGUGUUGAUGUUGCUAUUUUCUUGGUGCUUCUGGAGGGUUUAACUUAGAUCCCUUCCAUUACUCUUUUCUGUGCAUAUUCAGUCUGCUCAGGGACAGGCUGCUUCUGAAUGAAAUCGCAAAGCUUCUCCUGAAGGAUGGGGCAGAGAUAAGUAAAAUGUAGUUGGGGGUGUUUUGCCUUGCUCUGCAACUAGCAAAAGGAGGUCCGUUCCGAUUGUACGCAUAUUCUGAUGGGACUUUAAAAUAAGGUAAGUUCAUAUUGGGGCUGCAGUUUACAUUGCAGCCUUCUGUAGCCUGAUGAUUUUAUAUUGACAGUGUGCCUACAGAAGCACCUCUAUUUAUAGACCUACCUUAUGAAAUGUGUUUGCUACAGGAGUUGUGAAGGUAGUUUUCACGUAGCUUUUUUUCUUCUCAUCCCAAAAAGAAACUGCUUAGGAUGAAAUAAAAUUAUUAUUAGCAGGUGAUUAUUUUGAUUUUCUUUAAAACAUUUGGAAAGUCUAGCAUUGUCAGGCAGAUGCACAGCUGUAACACAUGUAAAGGUGUUUUACGCAGGUGCAAUAUUUUAAAGAAUAAUAGUAACAGAUUCUGAUUUCUAGUUUCUGUGUAUGUGCUUGUCCCUUCAGGGAGCUGUGCAGAUGGGAGAUGAAGCUCCUCAGCUUUACCAGUUUCUCUAAGAGCAGACUCUCCAGGCAAUAGCACUUACUCGUUCUUGUUUCUUUUCAUAUUUAUUCCCUACAGCUAGUUCCUAAAGCUUGUGGUACUUUUUGUUUUGCUUCUUUUCUGAAUGUCUCAAUCUAAAUUGACUUAAAGUUCCCCCUGCCAUCUUCUGUGUUCCUAUGUGGGCUUAAUUAUAAUUAUAGAACACUACCUAGAUUUCCAUGGUAAAAGUGCAACAUAAAGCAGCGUUUACUUGGUAGAGCUAGAUGAGAAGGAGAUACUCCACAGGUUGGCAUGAUGUCUGUUUUAGUAUUGAACACCUCCUCAUCUAUGGUUCUAUCUUUGGGCAGAUUUUCUCUAAACCUUGGUUAGUUAUGAUAAUUUUAAGAUCCUUCAUUGACCCAAUUUUUUUGUGGAGUCAGAAUAAAAUACCAAUUUUGUGUAAUUUGGUGUGUUUACACUUAAGUGACAGAAAUUAUAUUAAUCAGUAGUGUCUGCUUAUCUCAAGCAAACAUACCAGAAUUUCAGUACGGUUUAUUAUCUUUGUGGCUAUAAAGUUGAAAAAAGUUUGGGGAGGGGUCAACUGUUACGUCUCUGAUGGAGCUCAUUACUUGGCAUUUUAUUUUUCAUGUAUCAACCAAUUCUAUUAACAUUAACUAUUUUAGAUAUCUUUUCAGUACUACCCUUUACCCUUUUAUUCCUCACCUCUGUUAAAAGUUUAAAAUUUCAUUCACAUGGUAGAAACAAAGCUGUGCCUUUCAAGCAGUGACUAUCUGCUGGCUUGAAUCUUGCUACAGGUGUUUGCAAGCUUCACUGUUUCUCAGUGUCUUUGAUAAUCAUACAUAAAUUUACUCCAGUUUCAGUUGAGAUUGUCAUUUUCCUGACAUUUAAUGAUUUUUAUACAGCGCAACAAUAUUUUCAGGCAGGGAAGCAUUUGAGACUGCGUUAUUGUCAGUUUUACAGGAAGCAACAUUUAAGCACCAGCUCUUAAAUGAAAAGUGAUGUCAAUUGACAUCAGCUCCCAAACCUGUCUGAUAUAAAUAAGAGAACUGCAAGUGCUGAAUAUUUUUAAAAUUUGAAGCAUAAAAACAUUUGCAUUCUUUCUACCAUGUCCUGUAACAUUUGAUUUUUUUUUAAAUAAAAUAUGCUCUUAAAUUUAAUUCCCCUAGUCUUUUUUUGUGUACUUCUUCUGAGGCAGUGGCUCUCAAAGGUGUGGUCACCAGGAAUAUUUUACAAAAUACUGAUGCCUGGGGUUCACCGCUAGUGUUUCUGAUUGAAACAGUAUGAGAAACAGCCUGGAAGCAAUUCUAACAUGCAGCGAACUUUGGGUAUCACUGAUAGUGUAGAGGGAAGUGAUAAUGAUGCUAGUGACCCGUAUCAGUAGGAUUUGUCUUUUAAGUUAAGUGCUCAAUUAGGGGUGUAUUUAUUUAAACUACAAAUCUUAUUCAGCUCCCUUUUGGACCAGUGGCAUGGAUGUGAUUGAUAUGCUUAGAAAUGGAGGGAGUCUUUGGAUCUGAAAGAGAAAAAGGUACACCGUAGCAGUGCAGGGAACAUUCUUCUAGGAGUCAGAAGCUCUGUGUUCUUGUGAGAACUCCACUGCUGGCCAGUUGUAGAAGUGUUGGAAGUGGUUUACUUACCUGUAAACCAAUGAUGUCUUCCUGCUCACCUCUUGGUACUCUUGUGAGGUUCAAAGGUAACGUGUCAUUAAAGUGUGAACUCACUAUUAACAUUUUUUAGCGAAUGAAUCUUGGGUUCUUGUUCUGCAAUACCAUGGUCUUUAUCACUGAAUGAGCCAGAUGAGCUAGAAUGUAUGUCAUCUAGGGGAAUGACUUUUUGCUUUGAUAGUAAGUUUUCACUAGUUAUCUUUAUCAAUCAGCUUUUUUGGAGGGAAGGGCAGUUUUCCUGGUCUGAUAAAAAUUAAAUAAUUUCUUUGGACAGAUUGUGACUAAAUCAGUGUUGUGUAUGUGUGUAUGUGUGUGUUCUGUGAAAUGUCUCAUUACUUUAUAAUCAAAGGUAAAGAAGUUGCAGAAUAUGUCACAGAACAGUGAAAUCCCAACAGCAGCUUUCUUGAGAUUGUUUAAAAAGCUUUAUUUUGUUGUUAGUCGUUGCUUUAGAGCUCCCAUUUAUUAUUCUAGCCAUGUAUUAAUAUAAAUGAUAUUUUUUCUUUAGAGCUUUUUAUACUAUUGAAUAGCAAGUGUUUUAUAUGGCUCCAGUUUUUUUCUCUAAUAUUGACCCAGCCAAGCUAUACAUCUAAGGAAGAGUUAGGUUCUGCAAUGUCAUCUGUUAAUAUCUUUUAAAUAAAAAGCUUUUUAAUAUUGAAUCUUGGAAUUCAGUAUGAGUGACACAUUUUGCUGGGUCAGUCUCCACUUUUGUGGCUUGUGUGGACCAAUAUGAGUGAUAACUGUGGCAGAAACUGAAGCAUCUACAAACAUUGAUUCAAGCCACUCAGCAGUAGCUGGCAGAAUCUGGGGUAUUCUCCUAUUGCCAGGCUUGUUGCUUAAUGCAUUGGACAGCAAAGUUACCCAGAUGAUAUUGGAAUGAUUAUUAUGAAAGAAUUUCCUAGAGUUUGUAGAGCAUUAGUGUAAAAAACGUUUACAGUAAGGAAAACUCAUAUUUUCACUCUGCAUUCUUCUUUUAGGGUAUAAAGAAACACAUUUAAAUCUAAAUUCUGAAUUUCUUUUAAGGAAAAUAUAUCUUCGCUCUUUCAGAAUCCUUUUAUCUCCUUGGUAUGUAUUGUCAGGGGAAAAGGAACAUUUUAGAUUCAGUAGUCAUUUAUGUCUACUUGGAAAGCAGAAUCUAAUUAUGAAAAUGUAAGUCUGUGAAAUGCUCCUGUCAUGUUAAGAAUCACUUCUGGUAUUCCCCAUAAUUACUAUUUUGCCAUUCUCUACCUCAGGUUAUCUUCACUUCCUAGGAUGUUAUCAGUUGGGCUGUUUGAUAGAUAGCAAUCAAAAAGCUAGUUAUAAGUUGGCCCGUUGAGAAUGGGGACAAGAAUGAUUAUUUUUCUGUGGAUGACACGGAUGGCAAAAUUGUUUGUCAUAUGCGUUAAGUAAAAACAAUUCAAUAAAAUCCCUCAAGAGACUAAAAUGAGCCCGAUGAUGAAUUUUAAAUGGUGGUUUUGAUUUUGGAGAUGAGAAAUUUGAAAAUGUACUACAUAAUUUCUCAUCACUGAUUGAUAAUGAAGUGAUCCUAAAAUAGUAUAAGUCAGCAUCAUUCCCCACCCCACAUACACAAUAUUCAGCAUUAGCUGAGCAAAGGAAAUGAUAUGACCUAAUACAGCAUAUCUCAGAAACUGGUAGCCAAGGGAAUAAUGGAAACAGGGAUCUUUGAUCCGAAGAGAGAAGCUUAACAGGGCCUGUUACCGACAAGAUGACAAUGUACUGAAAAUUCUAACAUUUCCAAAUCUGGAAUGGAGCAAACUGAGUGGAUAUCCUCAGCUUUUGGUGGUGGUGGAGUUUUUUUAUUGCAACUGAGAAACAGCAGAAAAGAUUCUGGAAGAGAAACUGGCGAAAUGGGGGAAGGUGCAGAAACACCACAUCUCCAGGGGAAGGCUUCAGAGCAAUACUCUAAAUUGCAAAAAUGACCCAUAGGUCUUUGCAAUGAAAUACCUUCCCCUACUAACUUUAUAGAUCCCACCAAUAAGACAUCAACUCAGUGAACCCAUGAAAUUAGUUAAUAACUGCUCCUUGCAAAUAGAGCGCCUUAAUAAGAACAUAAACUUUGUAAAAUAAGAGCUCAAAGGUGAGAUGAUAAAACUGUAGAAAGGAAUGAAAAAGGGUAUUUUCAGUCUAGGGAAACAAACUUAGAAUGAAAAAAGCAUGGCAAUUAUAGAACAAAAAAUUCAUUAGAAAAAGCAGGAAACAGAAUAGACACCAGUGAAAAUCUUUACCAACAAAGAGGAAAGGCUGGAGACAAUCAGAGGGAAUGAAAAAGGGAAAUGGAUUAAAGUGAUUGGGGAGAGGUAAAUAAUAAGAAAGACAAAAGACACAGUGACAGGUUAUUUAUAUCCCUGAAGCUGAUAUUCCAAAACUUUGAAAUAGAAGAACAUUUUGUAAAAAUGAAGAAAGAUUAUUUCAC
ensembl:lncRNA